ACUUGGGAGGCAACACAGGUAAAUAAAUUUAGAGCCUAGAGAAUGGACGAGGUCACCAAGGGACUCAUGGCUACAGGAGACCAAGGAAGAAGGACUAAACCCAGGACCCAGUGCUGAGACGUCUGAUCAGACCACACACCAGAGCCGACUGCACUCUUCUGUCUCCGGGUCUAGAAGGCACAGGGACUAUGGAGCCCCCAGCGUUCCUGUGCGCAGGAACCACCUAGACCUCUUGUUGGCUCAGGACAUCUGGAGCAGAGUGUGAGAGUCUGGCUCUAUCCCAAGGUGCUGAUGCUGCUGGUCUUCAGAUCCCACACUGAGCAGCGAGAACACAGACCAGGAUCCCCGUGUCUGUGUGUCAGCCUUGCCUGCAGGGUGUUACACAGAUAUAGUUCUUGGAGCAAACAAUGGAAUCCCAAUCUUUUCUAGUUUAGAUAUAAAGUAGUAUAUAUAUGAUAUUGGGGUCUAGUAGUAUUUGGGGGAAAACCACAGGCUUCAGGUCACACAGCCAGAAACUGAUCCACAUUCAGCCCAGGUUGGGUCCUAUACAGGAGCCACCACCCUGUUGCUGGGCACAGAUGCCACUGCUCACACCACUGACCCCUGAUGCUGAACCCUGGCCCUGUGGCGAGGAUGGCUCCCUCUGCGGCUCCUGAAACCUGCACUGUUACUGUCACUCCCACCACCCUUCCCAGAUGCAGCCUGCGCAGUCCCAGCCACUCUGUUACCUGGUUCUGAGUCAGAGCCCGGCAUGGGGUUACGUGUGUAGAUGCAUGAAUGUUGGGGGACAUGGGCUUUCCUGUCUUAUGGAGGGACAUGAUAUCUGCCUCUCACCAAGUCUGUUUGUGUGUGGGAAUCUUGUCCUGUCGAAAGAGAGUUCAGGUGUUGGGUGAGGGAUGGAUAAGGAUGACAAAUUUCAAAUGGAGCAAAGAUCUGAGACUGGGACUUUGGUACUUUGCAGGCACUCAGGUUUGGCUGGAAAUCAAGUGACCAAUAAAGGACAUCCCAUCUGGAGGGCUACUCGCUCUUUGUGGGAUGGGGAGGAAUUUUUUGCCUGCACUCACCAAAUUAGUAUUACAAGAAAUGAUAAAGAAACUUCUUUU